rnacentral:rRNA from 1 species
AGCUUGUUGAAUUUUAGUAACAAGUACUUCCUGCCCGGUGCUUUGUGUAAACGGCCGCGGUACUCUGACCGUGCAAAGGUAGCAUAAUCAUUUGCCCUUUUAUUGGGGGCUGGAAUGAAUGGAAUGACGUGGCUUAUGCUGUCUCUUUCUUUUAAUUGUAAAUUGUUGUUUUUGUGAAGAAGCAAAAAUGUUAAAAAAAGACAAGAAGACCCUAUUAAGCUUUACUCUAAAAUUUUUGGUAGGAUAUUUUUAUUUUAUUAUAUAUUUAUCAAUUUUCAGGGUUUGGUUGGGGUGACCGAAGAAGAUAAAGAUCUUCUUUUUUUUAAAAAACUUUAUGUUUUUUAUUGGGCCAGUAGCUUCUGAGAAUAAGAAUAAGUUACUAUAGGGAUAACAGCGUAAUUUUUUCAAAGAGCUCAUAUUGAAGAAAAAGAUUGCGACCUCGAUGUUGACUUGUUGUCUCCUGUAUUAAAGUGCCAUUAAUUUGGGACAAAGGUGUAGCAGCUAAAAGGGUUGGUCUGUUCGACCAUUAAAACAAC